UUUACAACUCCCAAACCCAAUGUGAACGUUACCAAACUGUUGCCUCGGCGGGGUCACGCCCCGGGUGCGUAAAAGCCCCGGAACCAGGCGCCCGCCGGAGGAACCAACCAAACUCUUUCUGUAGUCCCCUCGCGGACGUAUUUCUUACAGCUCUGAGCAAAAAUUCAAAAUGAAUCAAAACUUUCAACAACGGAUCUCUUGGUUCUGGCAUCGAUGAAGAACGCAGCGAAAUGCGAUAAGUAAUGUGAAUUGCAGAAUUCAGUGAAUCAUCGAAUCUUUGAACGCACAUUGCGCCCGCCAGUAUUCUGGCGGGCAUGCCUGUCCGAGCGUCAUUUCAACCCUCGAACCCCUCCGGGGGAUCGGCGUUGGGGAUCGGGACCCCUCACCGGGUGCCGGCCCUGAAAUACAGUGGCGGUCUCGCCGCAGCCUCUCCUGCGCAGUAGUUUGCACAACUCGCACCGGGAGCGCGGCGCGUCCACGUCCGUAAAACACCCAACUUCUGAAAUGUUGACCUCGGAUCAGGUAGGAAUACCCGCUGAACUUAAGCAUAUCAAUAAGCGGAGGAAAGAAA
rnacentral:rRNA from 1 species